rnacentral:lncRNA from 1 species
GGGUGAGGCGGAGAGACAGAGCGGGAAGGGAAACAGGAUGGGGAGAGUCAAGAGGGGAAGGGAAGCGGGAGUCGGGGUGCGAGCCUGCCCUUUCCCCCGCCGAGGGCCUGUGCGGGGCGCGGCGGCCGCGCCAACUCCGGCGUCGGGAACACUCACCGCAGGACGCUUUGCCCUCCUUGGAAUCGCAGUAGCCGCAGUGGUAGCCGGCCCUGAGGCCCUUGUAUUCCACCACCGACGCCAUGGCCGCCGCGAGGGUCCGCUCGGGCCGACCACGCCUCUUGGCGCCCGGGGCCGACCUCGGCGAAGCGCUGGGGCCCGCGGCGGGAGGGGUGGAGAGCGAAGCCUGGCGCGGGGACCCGUGGGCGGGGAUGGUGGUCGUGUCCCCAAGCCCUGCGUUUGGGCCGGUGCUUCCCACAGCUGUGCGUUAUCAGCCCCAUUUCACAGGUAAGGAAACUGAGGACCGGAGGUUGUGAUUAUCCCAAAGUCAUUCCCGGCGGGUCUCGGAUUGAAAGUCAGGCCGCCCCUGGCCACCGUGUAAGUGACUUGCUGGAGCUGCUUCCAGACCAGCUGGCACGCACUCCAGUGCCCUGAAUACAAGAACACAAGCAGAACUAGAGAUGUCUC